GUUAUGUGUGAUCGUUAAUGUCCCAGGUUGGAAGAGGGUCGUGGGUCCUGUCUGUCACCAGAGAGCAGAGCUCAGCGCUGCCCCUCUGUGCCCUGUGUUUGAAGACAUGAAUGGCAUUGAGAAUGGCUUGGAUUAUUGAAGAAGUACAUCGAUCUGGUCUCUUUUACAUCAGCGCUCAUAUUUUUUGUCAUGUUUUCAGAUUACUGAGACCAAGCCUGCUCAUCUGUACCACAGCAGUUUCCUCAGGUUCUCUGCCAGCCUUGGCCACCUG